UCUUGAUAAAAAGUACGGUCAAUAAGGCGUAUCGUGCAAAGACCCUGGCAAUGGCUCGCUCGGUGACGGGACUGUUAAUUAAAUCGUAAACUGUUAAUUAGAUCGUUACACUGACCAGCUUCUCGGGAUCUUGACGCCGGUAGCCGCUCGAGGAACGAUCGUCGAUUUUCCACGUGGCAUCGUUAAGGCAAUGAAUGCGCAAAUUAUUCAUUUCGAAGCUUCUAACGCGUUAUAUGUCUAAUAAAAAUUAUAAUCCGAACGCGUAGAAUAAAUGAUUACGCUAGCGAAAAUUUCAUCGCUCGUAUCGAAUAAAGUAUAUCAGGGAAUCCAAUUUGUGUUCGGCGAGGAACGGAUAAAUAUGUUGUUUAUUUUUUAUUAGUUGUUCGAGGCUUUCGUUCAGAUAAGAACUCUUUACCAGUCUCCGUGCAAGUCCGCGUGUUAGUCUAAACGUGAUACUUGAAGGAAUGUCGAGUGUACAGAGAUAAACGGGCCUCUUUGGAGUACCGCGCUAUCUAUUAUCUACACUUAUUCGAGUAACAUUUUCCAAUCUCUGGUUUGGACGAAUUCGCGCACGACGUGUCGAUCCCGGAUCGUUACUUGUUGCUCCACGGCAACGACAUUCGCGAAAAUCUCGGCGCCGUUUGUUCUCCGUGCGUGGGAAGGUGCGACAAUCGGUCGGUUCGGUUGCAGCAGUCGUGGAACAGACGAAUGGAGCGAAUCGAAGGCCGGCUUAUCGUGAAAGAUAGGUACUCGGCCGUAUUUGCUGUACGCUGUAGGUACGUGACGACGGAUUUCGCGGCACGGAUAAGGCAUAUUUCCCCGAGCCGUCGGCGACACCCUGUACCAGCCUCUCCAUGUGCGCAACGGACGAAAAAAUAAAGAAAAUUGAGUUUUAGAAAGUCUCCAACGUUUAUCGUCGAAUCAAAGCCUUCGAAGCUUUCUGGCUGGUCUUCCUGCAACGCCCGACGCGAUAGCGAGCCAGAAAUAAACCGAUAGUAUCGUAGAUUCGAGUUCGUUUAACAUUGAAGAGAUUAUCGACGUGUUCGCACGCGUAAUUUCAGUUGCGGGUUCUCCAACUUCUUAUUGUUCUUUGUUUUAUUCCUUCGAAGAAAGCUGGAACGAUGAGAAAAAGCAAAAUAACGCAGCUUGGAAGAAUAAUUUCACUUCCCAGACCGUACGCGCCAGUCGACACGUGGACGCUUGCUCGACGCGAGCACCAGUCGGAGAUGGGCAAACUCGUGUUACUCUUGUUAUUUAUUAUAUAUGGAACCGUGGCCUACGACGCUAGAACACGACGGAUCUCGCUCGAACACGGAAUAUAUGUUUUGGACAAACGAUUUAGGUUCUUUCGCGUAGUUUGUUCUCGUUCUCGUGAAAAUGAAACCGGGCAUCGUCGAGCCCCACAGGCUGUGACUGCGGAGCAGGUUUUCGAUGGUCGAGGCGAUCGGUUGGAACGACGAUCUUCCGUGAAAGAAUUUCAACGCCUCGGGCUAGACGGGGAUCUUGGCGCGGACAUUUUCUUUGGUUAUCUAGCUGUAUGAGUUUUAUUCGACAUCAUAAAGCUAGGUUACCGGAGUUAAGCUCCUCGCCAUAUCAACUUCAGCGAUCUUCUAUCCCUUCUAUCGUGGUCUUUUCACGCACUUCAAGAAUUACACAAUGAUACGCAACUACCUCCUACGCUACCUGUAGUCUUAAACUGACCGUGUACAAGGGAUGUUAAAAUAAAGAUGUAGCGAGCGAACAAUUUUAAAUGCACCUCUGUACCUCAGAGGCAAACUAUGUUAAUUGCAAGAUUUGAAUUGCUGCGAAAAAAUAUAAUAAAGUAUAAUACACGAUUUACCACUUAUCAUAUCAAACUUCAAAAAAUAUUACUUGACAGUUUGCUACAUAGAGUACCUGCUAGACGUAGUAGUUGAACUCAUUUACUUAAUCGAAUGAUUUAAUAAUUUGUAAUUCGUUAGCCUAUGCGAAUCAAUUAUGAAUGACGAUAACGAUCUAUAAAAAGAUCGUUAAAUGUUUGAUCUACAAAUAAUGCGAUUAAUUGCUAAUCGUUUUGGAAAUAAAUUAUU